UACGAAGGGGGCUAGGCGUUGCUCGGAAUCACUGGGCGUAAAGCGCACGUAGGCGGAUUGUUAAGUCAGGGGUGAAAUCCUGGAGCUCAACUCCAGAACUGCCUUUGAUACUGGCGAUCUCGAGUCCGGGAGAGGUGAGUGGAACUGCGAGUGUAGAGGUGAAAUUCGUAGAUAUUCGCAAGAACACCAGUGGCGAAGGCGGCUCACUGGCCCGGUACUGACGCUGAGGUGACGAAGCGGUGGGAGCAAACAGGG
rnacentral:rRNA from 1 species